UAACAGGUCGUAGACCCGAAACCAGGUGAUCUACCCAUGUCCAGGAUGAAGGUAAGGUAAUACUUACUGGAGGUCCGAACCCACGCACGUUGAAAAGUGCGGGGAUGAGGUGUGGGUAGCGGAGAAAUUCCAAUCGAACUUGGAGAUAGCUGGUUCUCUCCGAAAUAGCUUUAGGGCUAGCCUCGAGGUAAAGAGUCAUGGAGGUAGAGCACUGUUUGGACUAGGGGCCCUUCUCGGGUUACCGAAUUCAGAUAAACUCCGAAUGCCAUGUACUUAUACUCGGGAGUCAGACUGCGAGUGAUAAGAUCCGUAGUCGAAAGGGAAACAGCCCAGACCACCAGUUAAGGUCCCCAAAUAUAUGUUAAGUGGAAAAGGAUGUGGGGUUGCUUAGACAACCAGGAUGUUGGCUUAGAAGCAGCCACCAUUGAAAGAGUGCGUAAUAGCUCACUGGUCGAGUGACCCCGCGCCGAAAAUGUACCGGGGCUAAACAUAUUACCGAAACUGUGGAUGAACCUCUUUAGAGGUUCGUGGUAGGAGAGCGUUCUAAGGGCGGUGAAGUCAGACCGGAAGGACUGGUGGAGCGCUUAGAAGUGAGAAUGCCGGUAUGAGUAGCGAAAGAAGGGUGAGAAUCCCUUCCACCGAAUAUCUAAGGUUUCCUGAGGAAGGCUCGUCCGCUCAGGGUUAGUCGGGACCUAAGCCGAGGCCGAUAGGCGUAGGCGAUGGACAACAGGUAGAGAUUCCUGUACCAGUGCUAAUUGUUUAACCGAUGGGGUGACACAGAAGGAUAGGGAAUCGCACGAAUGGAAAUGUGCGUCCAAGCAGUGAGUGUGAGAAGUAGGCAAAUCCGCUUCUCGCGAAGCAUGAGCUGUGAUGGGGAAGGAAAUUAAGUACGGAAGUUCCUGAUUUCACGCUGUCAAGAAAAGCCUCUAGGAAGAGUAGUACUGCCCGUACCGCAAACCGACACAGGUAGAUGAGGAGAGAAUCCUAAGGUGAGCGAGAGAACUCUCGUUAAGGAACUCGGCAAAAUGACCCCGUAACUUCGGGAGAAGGGGUGCUCUAUUAGGGUGCAAGCCCGAGAGAGCCGCAGUGAAUAGGCCCAGGCGACUGUUUAGCAAAAACACAGGUCUCUGCAAAACCGUAAGGUGACGUAUAGGGGCUGACGCCUGCCCGGUGCUGGAAGGUUAAGAGGAGUGCUUAGCUUCGGCGAAGGUACGAAUUGAAGCCCCAGUAAACGGCGGCCGUAACUAUAACGGUCCUAAGGUAGCGAAAUUCCUUGUCGGGUAAGUUCCGACCCGCACGAAAGGCGCAACGAUCUGGGCACUGUCUCAACGAGAGACUCGGUGAAAUUAUAGUACCUGUGAAGAUGCAGGUUACCCGCGACAGGACGGAAAGACCCCGUGGAGCUUUACUGCAACCUGAUAUGGAAUGUUUGUACCGCUUGUACAGGAUAGGUAGGAGCCGAAGAGACGUGUGCGCUAGCAUACGAGGAGGCAAUGGUGGGAUACUACCCUGGCUGUAUGACCAUUCUAACCCGCCACGCUUAGCGCGUGGGGAGACAGUGUCAGGUGGGCAGUUUGACUGGGGCGGUCGCCUCCUAAAGAGUAACGGAGGCGCCCAAAGGUUCCCUCAGAAUGGAUGGAAAUCAUUCGCAGAGUGUAAAGGCACAAGGGAGCUUGACUGCGAGACUGACAAGUCGAGCAGGGACGAAAGUCGGGCUUAGUGAUCCGGUGGUUCCGCAUGGAAGGGCCAUCGCUCAACGGAUAAAAGCUACCCCGGGGAUAACAGGCUUAUCUCCCCCAAGAGUCCACAUCGACGGGGAGGUUUGGCACCUCGAUGUCGGCUCGUCGCAUCCUGGGGCUGUAGUCGGUCCCAAGGGUUGGGCUGUUCGCCCAUUAAAGCGGCACGCGAGCUGGGUUCAGAACGUCGUGAGACAGUUCGGUCCCUAUCCGUCGCGGGCGCAGGAAAUUUGAGAGGAGCUGUCCUUAGUACGAGAGGACCGGGAUGGACACAC
rnacentral:rRNA from 1 species